rnacentral:rRNA from 1 species
GAGUAGGGGAUCGAAAGACCUUGUGCUCUUGGAGCGGCCGAUGUCUGAUUAGCUAGUUGGUGGGGUAAAGGCCUACCAAGGCGACGAUCAGUAGUUGGUCUGAGAGGACGACCAGCCACACUGGGACUGAGACACGGCCCAGACUCCUACGGGAGGCAGCAGUGGGAAUUUUGGACAAUGGGCGCAAGCCUGAUCCAGCAAUGCCGCGUGAGUGAAGAAGGCCUUCGGGUUGUAAAGCUCUUUCAGUCGAGAAGAAAAGACUGCGGUGAAUAACUGUAGUUCAUGACGGUAUCGACAGAAGAAGCACCGGCUAACUACGUGCCAGCAGCCGCGGUAAUACGUAGGGUGCGAGCGUUAAUCGGAAUUACUGGGCGUAAAGGGUGCGCAGCCGGUUUUGUAAGUCAGAUGUGAAAUCCCCGGGCUUAACCUGGGAAUUGCGUUUGAAACUACAAA